AGGAAAAAAAUUUAAAAAAAAGCGAAGGCAACACAGAGGAGGGUGGGGUAAAUGUGGAAAGCGUGGAAGAGGAGGGAGGGGAGGAGGCCAAGGAGGGUGGGGAGGAGGCCAAGGAGGUAGAGGGGGAGGCCAAGGAGGAACAGGAGGAGCCCCUCGUCCAACAGAUUCAUCAGCAAGUGCUAAAACUAUAAAUUAUUUUAAUGUUAAAUGUAGGAACCUUAAUUAUAGUUCUAAAUAAAAUCUAAAUAAAAA